rnacentral:misc_RNA from 1 species
AUUCAACCAAAAUUUGGAGAUUAAGCAACAAAAUCGAGAUUAGCAUUAGCAAGUCUAUGAGUAUCUUAUUUAAUUGUAGUCUUAAGAUUAAACAUAAACUGGUAGAAGCAACACAACAACCAAUUACGGUUAACCCUAGAACUCGACCCGACACGACCCGACCAAAGCAGUAGAGAUAGUUUGAAAUUAAAAACAAAGCCUAAAACGGCGACUCAAAUACAUAAAAGACUGAUAAAACUAGAUCAUCAUCAUCAUCAGAUCUAGAGUUGACCGCAGUCAGCAAUAACCACAGGCUUGGAGCACCUUCCAGAGCUAGAUCCAACAGCCUCUGCCUUCUUAAUCACAUCCAUGCCUUCAACAACUUGUCCAAACACGACGUGCUUUCCGUUGAGCCACUCAGUCUUAGCGGUACAGAUGAAAAACUGAGAACCGUUGGUUCCAGGUCCAGCAUUAGCCAUGGAGAGGAUUCCAGGGCCGGUGUGCUUCUUAACGAAGUUCUCAUCGUUGAAUUUGGCUCCAUAGAUCGACUCUCCUCCGGUCCCGUUUCCGGCGGUGAAAUCACCUCCUUGACACAUGAACCCUGGGAUCACACGGUGGAAGGUUGAGCCCUUGUAGUGCAAAGGCUUCCCCAUCUUUCCAACACCUUUCUCACCGGUACAAAGAGCUCGGAAGUUCUCAGCGGUUUUGGGAGUGGUAUCGGCGAAGAGCUCCAUCACCACACGACCAGCUGGUGCACCACCGAUGGUAAGGUCAAAGAAAACCUUUGGAUUUGCCAUUUCUCUCUAGACUAGACGUUUCUCAAACUUACAAGAUGGUACGAUUUGUGCUUCGGGGAGAAUCCGAAGAUCCG